GCUGCCCUUAGAGGCAUUGUAGAUGUGGCUGCUCUUUCACAUGUACAUCAAUAGGUGGCCGAGAGGACAGGGGCUAUAUCCACAGUCAGUGUUCUGACCUAUGAAUAUCUAAAUGAUUAAUGUAACAUU
ensembl:snoRNA LOC120097250 small nucleolar RNA SNORA17